GAAGAUUGACUUUCCUAGAAAAUUCUAGUAAACGCAUAUGUGAUUCUAUACAUCUAUUAUGAAAUACAAGUUAUCUCAACUAGCAGAGGAUCCAUCACAGGCCAUAAACUCUUACACAAUCGAUUGCGUAAUAUGCAAUUUUCGUGUCGACGAAAGAUUACCAAGCUGCAACGCGUGAUACGUCCAACUGACCAUAUUGAUAACAAUUAUUAACUUCAUUAUCGUUUCUCGGUAUUUAAUCAUUAAAAAGUUUCUUCUAAAACUGUCCUUCCUUCGGAUUUUAUCUUUUCCCAUUUAUCUCAGUAGCUACGAUCUGCUAUUUCAUUAAUGAAUUAAAUUUGUAUUACAGAAAUUACGUAAUUGUCACAGUAAAACGCGUCUUUACUUAAGGUUGUAUAAACAUUGUAGAGAUCUUAAAAGGAAAUAAUGAAUGGUAACAAAAAGUAUAGAGAAGUAGCUCCAAUCAGACUCUCGCCGGUAAGAAGCCAGGCACGUAGUAUAGGUCCGCGACUGGUCAGACGCCCAGCGAAGGAUAACGUCGUCGUCGCGUGCGCCGCGCCGUAUAGGAAGAGGCGCGUUGCGUCGCGUUUCAUACGGGAAACGCGAGAUCGACAGGUCUCGUGAUGGAAAAUGCCGUGGUAACAAUGUUCUCGUACGUUCGGGGCGGCUACUAGUUUUCUAAUGUCUGAUAUAUCUCGCAUGCACGCGCAACACCGCUCUCCCUACUUCUGCUCAUUAGCCGCGCCGCGUCAAACCUUACAAGGUCGCCAAUGCUAUAGUUUCCAAGGAGAUGCUCUAAUGAAUACAUAUAACAUCUCUUGGCCUUACAAAGAACUUGUACGCAUUGUCUUCUAGCCAUUCGCAUUCCAUCUUAUCUGACGGCCUUUGGUAACACGGGGAUCACGACUACGCCGACUGGUUAUGUUAAACAAAUUUAUAAACGGAAAAUUGCAUGUUCUAAUACAAGAAAUAAUGUUCGUUUCUUAGUUGUUUUGGCAUGCAAUUUUCUCGGUAGUAUUACUCGAAGAGGAAGUCUAUGACCAUAAAUCAGAUUACUCCAUUGUAACAGUGUCAUUAACGUGACGCGAGUCAUUAAAAAGGCUGCCAAAAAUGAUCUAACGUUAACAUCCUGAUCGACAACCAUAUCACGUCACUGAAGUUGAACAACUCAUGUAACAAUCUAAUUUUAGAACCGAUCAUUCAUCGCGAUUGCUUUAAAUAUCGCGUCGACAUUAAGAACGUUGAACGCGCGCGAUUUCGUGAGCCGAUUGACCGUUGAACGUUAUUAAAAGUUUACGUACACUCCUAUCUACUACGUAAUUAUGUAUGUACAUGUCGCGUGAAGUCGUUAGACAGUGUCUCGGCGAUGUGACAAGCGUCUCGGUGAUAUACAGCCAUAUUUUCAAAUACUCGAUCGAAUGUGCGUCAGGGUGGAGAACAAAAACAUUCGUCGAAGACGGAGCCAACAGAACAAAGAGAAUCGAACGCGUUUCGUAGACGUAAUGUCGAUGUCACGGCCGCCGACACUCGUGCCACGCAACUACGUCAGCGGCAUCGCGUAUAUUACCAAUGGAAUCGUUCUCUACGUAAUUCAUUGAAUUGAUACCGUUAGACGUUUUUCCUUUCCCACUUCCUUAGCUAAAUAUCUGAAUAUUGAUGAUGAUGACUGAAUUCUGAAGGUAAUCGGAAUCGCGGAAAUUACCACCGGAAAUCUAUUAACGAUAUUGUUACACGUUAUGGACCGGCGUGUAAUUCACCGUGAAAUAUCAAUAAAAUUUCCACUGGGCAACACGUUGUUAUGAAAACAAACGUGUUGACUAUCACAUUAUUUCAACUCUUACGUAGAGUUCCAGAAAAUAUUACGCGUUAAAAUAAUAAAAAAAAAACAGGAAUAAAAAUGAAAUUAGUCCAACAGAUUUUCUUGAACUCAUGAAUUUUACUUAUUGUUAGUCAUUAUCUAACUGUGAGCAAAGACUCUUGAAUAAAUCGCUGAUGCGAUUCGAAAUUAUAAUGAUGUUCGAAAAAGGAACGAAGGAAGAGAAUUAGAAUGUAUAAUUACACAUCGGGCCCGGCUCUAAUAGGCUUGGCCGUUGUUGCCGGGCACGCGGAAAUAUGCGCUCGUCAAACGUUACGGUGAACGUCAAGUUUACGCAAUGUUAUUACGUAAGACGGACGAACGUGUCACGAUACGUACGUCCCAAGCUUCGUACUUGUACAUGUCCGUACGUACGCCGUUGGCAAUGAAUCGAAACAUCCGCAUCCGCAUCUCCACGCGCGUCAGAAGAUAUCCACCCAAAUCAUCUCUGACCAAUUUCCAUGGUCAAAGUUUUAAAUUCGUUUGAAAGGACCCGGAGAUUCGAAACAUUUAGGGUACUUGUUGAUAAAAUCACGCGAUGCGUCAAUCAUGGAGAACUGCUACAAAAGGACGAUUCGCGACGGAUUACUUUCAUAAUUUUCCUUUUGCUCGAAUUAUGCAAACGGUGGGCUCGGUUUACGUAAUUGAUUGACAGGUAUAGGGAAAAUAUGAGAGAAGAGAGAAAACAAAAUGUGGGAAGAAUCUGUGAUCUAAACUUUUUUAAUUCGCGAUAUACGAAGUAUUGAAAUUAUAUUUUAUUAUACGAAGCCUUUUUUUCACUGCACGUGUAUUGAAGAUCAACAAGCCAUCCUCCAUCCCCAGCUAUCUAACCGGUCGAACUACUCGAACUACGAUAUAAUCGCCUCGUAAUCUCAUUCAAUUGCCAAUCAACAUCCAAUACCACUAGAUCACCGGAACGGAUAAUUACCAGCGAAGUGGCAGUGCCGUCAUAAAAACGAGUGAGCCGUGGAUCACUUCCGUUUCCGACUUCGUACAUAAACAUCAAUAGAAACAAAAAUAUAAUUUUUUUAGCAAUUUAUCGAUAUAUAUAAAUAACGAAAGAAGAUCAAUAAGCCUGAUCCAUUUAGAAAUUUUGAAUCGAUCAAUUCUAGAUCAAUAUUGAAAUCGGCCAUGGCAGACAUAUCGAAUAACAGGUAUUAAAAUGAGUUUAUAUUCGAUGCUAGUUUCCCACGGAGUUACUGCAGAUCGUGCGUUCGUGUCAGUGCGAAUCAUUGAGUAAACGCGAUCUUUCGCGGUGAGUCUAGGCUGAUCUAGCCAACCCGAUGACCUUGAUCACCGACUCUUCUGAAGUCGGUCAACUGGGUCAGGUGCGCAAUCGGGGCGAGUAGGUGCAGCUAUGCACACUGAUGCAAACGAUGACUGGGUUACUGGCCAAUGAAAGUGUUCGAAAAUAAUACGACCGCUGGACGCGGGAUCCGUGAAACGGUACCUCGACCGAACCGCUGGUCCUCCGCCUCUGGAGGAGGCCAGAUGAAUGGACAGAAGUCGACUUCGCGGUCGGUGAAAGUAGUAGGAACCUUCGGCUAACUGGGUUACGAACGUUCUCCGCGAUCAUCGAGAAAUAUAUACAUACACACGGAGCCGGCCGGCUCCAUUGGCAUUUCUCAAGCUGGCCUCGUAAAAGGACGACGCGUGAUCGAAAGCCGAUCGAUUAUGCAAGCGUGAGUAAUAAGGACAUGGAUUUCAGAACGUUCAUCGAAAGUCAAACCUAAGUAGAAUAUCGGAACGAUGAAAUAACGUAAAGCUAAAUUGUACUAAGACAGGAGGUAAUCAUUUACCAACCAGUCAUAAUCCUAUUUAUAAAUCACAGUCAAUCCGCGAUACAUCUUAACUUGUAAGAUUAUUUAUUUUUAGCUGAUAAUUUCUACUAAUAAGCAAAUAAUGAAUUAGAUGCUCGAUACUUAAUAAAAUCCGAUUAGCAAGAUUUAUGAACAGAUUAUGUAAACGAGUGAACUAGUCGAGUUAUUAGACCGCGUUACGAAGAGUUAAUCGUGAAGCCGGAAGUU